GAUGAACGCUAGCGGUAGGCCUAAUACAUGCAAGUCGAACGGUGUCUUCGGACAUAGUGGCGCACGGGUGCGUAACACGUAUGCAACCUACCUUACAUUGGGGGAUAGCCUUUCGAAAGGGAGAUUAAUACCGCAUAAGACAGUAGCUGGGCAUCCAGCAGCUGUUAAAGAUUUAUCGAUGUAAGCUGGGCAUGCGUCCAAUUAGCUAGUUGGUGAGGUAACGGCUCACCAAGGCAAUGAUUGGUAGGGGAACUGAGAGGUCAAUCCCCCACACUGGCACUGAGAUACGGGCCAGACUCCUACAGGAGGCAGCAGUAGGGAAUAUUGGGCAAUGGACGCAAGUCUGACCCAGCCAUGCCGCGUGCAGGAUGAAGGCGUUAUGCGUUGUAAACUGCUUUUAUACAGGAAGAAACGACUCUUGCGAGAGGCAUUGACGGUACUGUAUGAACAAGCACCGGCUAACUACGUGCCAGCCGCCGCGGUAAAAC
rnacentral:rRNA from 1 species